ACGAACAUGGAAUUCUUUUUCCUUUGCCAAAACAGGGAUAGUAUGAAGGCACUUGCAGAACUGCAAAGUGCAAAACGCACACAAUAUGGCCUCAGUAGAAGUAGAAAUAUAUGCAUAACUAGGUUCAGAAUAAUACAAAAAGAAGACUUACAUUAAUUGGAUAUAUAAAUACACAAAAAAAAUCAAUGAAUUUAAAUAAUAAAGAAUACAAAAUGGGGCAAACUUAGAAGGAAAAUCGUAUUGGCCGAGAAGGAGGGGUUGGAGGGAGACUGGACUUGGUAUGACCUGGCUCCAAGAUGAACAAAAUUGUCAAGGGGUCUCAAAAUCCAGGAUUGAGCCUGUAACCCUUCAGAAAUUAGCUGCUAUCAAAUUCCAUUUUAUAGAUCAGAAAUUUAAGAUAAUUGUUUGCCAUGGAAGACUUGAACUCAUAUCAAUUCUGUACUGAGAUGCACUUAUGGUAUGAAGUUACUCUGGCUAUGCUCCCAACUCCUCCAGCUACUUUGAUUGUUAUCAAAAAAAUCUGCACUAUAGUUCUGACUACCAAAUGCCAACCUCUGAAACAUUCUAAUCUGAGCAGAAUGUUGUCUUGAGUCGAAGAUUUCACUUUGGCCAGGUUUCAUUCCAUUAGAUAGAUCUGACAACUCAUCUAACGAGUCCAAAGCUCUCACCACCUGACUCAUUUGUGGCCUUUUUGCAGCUGAAUGACGCACACAAGCUGCAGCUGCCUCAAUCAUCCGAAUCAUUUCUCUAGGUACAUAGUUCUUCUCCAGCCUUGGAUCAACUAGUGCUACAAAAUCUUCAUUAUCAAGUGCUUCAGCAAGUAAUGGUCGAGCCCAUUCAACUACGCUUUCAUCACCCAGUGGCUGAGAGGCAUCAACAGGCUUACGGCCUGUAAUUAGCUCCAAAAGCACAACCCCAAAUGAAUAAACAUCAGAUUUUUCAGUCAACUUACCACUUGUUGCAUACUCAGGGGCCAUAUACCUGGAAAUUGAAGAUCCGUUAAAAGUACAAAUAGAGAAGGUUUUGCACGCACCUUAAGGAUUUUUUUAACAUUGUCUUUAAUAUAUGCAAGUUAUGAAAAGCCUAUAAAUAUUACCUUUGUACUAAAAACAAAAUCAGACUUAUAAAAGAAAAUUAUAAUAUAAACCAUUAAAGUAAUGCCAGCCUUCUUUCGAUGUUUUCCUAGAUCAAUGUUUAUGAUGCUAGUUUUACCACAUAACAGCAUCUAUCAAAGAUAGAAGCACUUGUGGUUCACCUACCCAAAGGUUCCCAUCACGCGUGUUGUUACAUGUGUAUUUGAAUCCAGUUCCAGUGCAAUCUUUGCAAGCCCAAAAUCUGAAACCCGUGCUUCAAAAUUGUUAUCAAGAAGGAUGUUUGAUGACUUUAUAUCCCUAUGGAUAAUGCGGGGAUGACAGUCUUCAUGUAGGUAAGCGAUGCCACGAGCUGCUCCAGCAGCAACCUUGACCCGAAUUGCCCAAUCCAUAACUGGCCUGCCUUUACCAUGGAGAUGGUAGUGAAGUGUAUCAUUUGGGACGUAGUCGUAGAUGAGCAAUCUUUGAUUCUCUGAUACACAGUAACCCACUAAUGAAACUAAAUGGCGGUGAUGUACUCGGCUAAUAAUCUCAACCUCCGCUUUAAACUCACGCUCUCCUUGAGAACCACCCACCUUUAAUUGUUUUACAGCAACUUCUCUACCAUCCACCAGGAUGCCUUUGUAUACACAACCAAAUCCGCCUUCACCCAAAAGAUUUUGUGUUGAAAACCCAUUUGUGGCUUGGGCUAGCUCCUCAUAUGUGAAACAUGACCUUGAAGUGUUUACUCCUCCUGGCUCUGAAGGUGAAUAGAUCAAAUCACUGCCAGAAGGGCUUCCUCCCAAAGGUCCAUGAGAAAGGGGUCUUAGAAAUACCGACUCUGAAUUCUGCAGGGAGGCAAAUGGGGAAGGCAUAGUGUGCCCGAUAUUUGAUUUAGCAUGCCUUCUCUUUCGUUUAUGUACAAUCCACACAGCCAUCACGAGAAAACUGAGUACUACAAACCCAACCACGAUGCCUACUGCCACGGCAGCUCCAGUGUUUAAAUUUUCUGCGACUGUGGAUGUAUUUUUGGAGACAUUGGUACGAUUAGUUGCUGUUGCAGUUGGCUUUUCUGUAGGGAUAGAGGGUAAGGGUGACAAAGGAGAAGUUCCUGUUGUCGAUGAAUUAUCUGGAGGAGCAGGAGGAGGUGUUACAGGCGGCAUAGAAGUUGAUGGGACAGAAGGAGGUGGUGAUGUAGAUGUUGGAGGAGGAGGAGAAUUUGUUACAGGUGGAGGACUACUAGAAUGAGAACUAGAUGGUGGAGUAACAUUUGGAGGUGCAGAGGAACUUUCAGGGGCCUUUUCUGCUGGUGGAGAUGGUGUAUCAAUGGACGGAGGCGCAGGGACAUUAACAGGAGAAGGUGGAGGAGGGGCAACAGCUUGAGGGGAAGGAGGAGAUGCAACAGGUGUGGUUGGGGAGAACUGGGGAGAGGGAGAGCUGCUUGCUGGUGGUGGAGGAGGAGAUACAUGAGGAGGAGGGGGCAGUGAAGUAGUGACAGCUGGAGGAGGGGCAAUAGGUGUUGAUGGAGGUGGUGAUGUUGGAGGGGCUGGUGGUGGGGAUGCUGGGGGUGAUGGAGGUGGUGCAGAUGGUAGUGGUGUUGAGGGUGUUGUUGUAGAUGGUCGCGUUGAUGAUGGUGGAGAUGGAGGGGGGGCAGCUGGAAUUGCGGGCCUGGCGGAUUGAGGAGGUUGAGCUGAAGAGUUAAAAGAGGUUGAAGGGACCGGGGGAUCAGUUGUCUGAUCAGGCAAAGUUAUUGCAGGUGGAGGUAAAGUGGACGUAGAAUUUGAUGGUAAAGAAGGGGCUGUUGUUGAUGAUGGUGAGGUGGCGGAGGAUGUUGUUGGUGGAACUGCAGAAGGGGAAGAAUUUGGUGAAGGUGAUGUUGAGGCCAUGUCUGUUUCCAACAAAAUGUACGAGAAACUAUACCUCCAUAUCAAAUUCUAGACGCGUAAAUCUCAAGCAACUUCUCCACUGCAAAUGUCCAAAUAACUCAAGAACAUUCCAAUUCAAAAGUUCUCCUCCAAAUUACCGGAGGAAACACAGAUCUCCAAGCAGAUACAGAGCUCAAUAAAAACCCAAAUUCACAAAAAACGACCAAAAUUCAGUACAGAAGUCCCUAAAUGACCAAAACUAGACAAAAGAAACUCCAAAAAUCCAGCACAAAUGACUUCAACUGUACCAAUUUGAACCCUAGCUUAACUUCUUCUAACCAAAAUCCAAACUUUACACACUACAAUGGAUUAUAAACUGACGUUGGACAAAUGCAGCAAUAUCCAUAACACCAAAAUGAAAACAAAAAAAACCCAGAAGCGCAAAGUUCAACAAGGUCUUACUAAUCUGUCUCAAAUUGAGGAUUUCUUGGGGGAGGCUUUGGUUGUUACAGGUUGGAACUUUUGAAAUUGAAGUGGGUUUUCCCAAGAAAGCUUUUUUCUUUGACAGAAAAAAAGAUGGAGAGAGAAAGUGAGCGCACAAAACAUGCAAAGAAACGUGGGAGGCAACAGUAGAGAGAGACAAAGAAAUUUUGUGCCUU
rnacentral:misc_RNA from 1 species